CGAAACACGAACAACGGAAGCACGAGGCAGAACAAGAGGAGUGUUAUGAGUUUCAAGGAGCAAGGGAUGUCAAUUACUAGGGAGAACAAGCCCUUCAAACUGCCAAUGGCCAUAGAAGAGCACGUCCUAGACGGAGUAUAUUGUUCUCUCUGCCUGUCAUGGAGUGUCAGACUCACGACCUGUCCCUAGUUGGCCUGGACCACCCUCUCACUGCUGCUGCCCCCGGCAUUCAGCCACCCUUGUGGGCCUGCCCUGGCGUGUAGUCUUUUCCUUUCCAGUUGCUGAGCUCUCGUGCUGGCCACCUACCUCAAAUCUUCUUUCCUCGCUUUUCUCCCUAGGGAAUUCUACCUCAUCGUGUAACAAUUCUAUCUCAACUUUUAUAAAC